rnacentral:rRNA from 1 species
AGCCAGUAGAUGUUAUUUCUGGUUAAACCUGCCCAAUGUGUAAAUGAAUGGCCGCGGUACUCUGACCGUGCUAAGGUAGCGUAAUCAGUUGGCUUUUAAAUGGAGUCAGGUAUGAAUGGGAAAACCUGGUUUAGCUGUCUCAGAAGUAUUUAAUUGAAUUUACUGUUCAAGUGAAAAAGCUUGAGUAAUAAAAAAAGACGAGAAGACCCUUAGAAUUUUUUUUAAAAAGUAUUAUCUUUCUGAUUUUGUUGGGGCGACACAGGGGAAGAUUUCAACCCCCUAUUUAAACAAGUCGAUACUUAUAAUUUAGGAUAAAUUACCUGAGGGAUAACAGCAUAAUUCUAAAACUGAGUUUGUGACCUCGAUGUUGGACUAGGAAACUAGCAGGCCAGCCGUUUGCUGUGUGGGUUCUGUUCGAACUUUAAUUCCU